GCCUGUGGCGCAGACCGGAAAAGCCCAUGGCCUGUGGCGCAGACCGGAAAAGCCCAUGGCCUGUGGCGUAGACCGGAAAAGCCCAUGGCCUGUGGCGUAGACCGGAAAAGCCCAUGGCCUGUGGCGUAGACCGGAAAAGCCCAUGGCCUGUGGCGUAGACCGGAAAAGCCCAUGGCCUGUGGCGUAGACCGGAAAAGCCCAUGGCCUGUGGCGUAGACCGGAAAAGCCCAUGGCCUGUGGCGUAGACCGGAAAAGCCCAUGGCCUGUGGCGUAGACCGGAAAAGCCCAUGGCCUGUGGCGUAGACCGGAAAAGCCCAUGGCCUGUGGCAUAGACAGGAAAUAGAGGUAGGACAUAUGGGAGGAAAAGACAUUCUUGAACAGAGCUAGAGGACCCAAACCUGGGAUGCUCGGGUAAUCUGUGCCUUCCUGCUCACAGGAAGCAGGUGUAAUGGUGUGCCUCACAAUACUGAGCUGUAGGUCUCAUUCAUUCUGUGCUUCAGUCAUCUGGCGAGCCUUGAAGACAUAAUUCUCAGUCUCUACUACCACCAGGAUAUCUAGGAUGGCAAUCAUUAUCAAAGGUUUUCUGCAUAGAAGCUCAAGUCAGGAACCUGGUUGUUGGAACUGAAGCAGAGAAGGUUCAAGAAUGCUGCUUCCUAGCUUGCUCUUCGUGAUUUUCUCAGCCUGCUUUGUUAUAAAACCCAGGGCCACCUGUUUACUAUGGCUGUGGCCUCUCACAUCAAUUAUUCACCAAGAAAAUGCCCACAGACAUGCCCACAGGACAGUCUGACAUAAACAUUUCCCCAGUUACUAGUCUGUUCCCAGAUAUGUCUGGAUAUGUGUCAAGUUGACAAUAACUAAACAGCACAGAAGAAAUGAAGCCAAAGCUGAAUUGUGAUUUGUUUUUAUAGUUUUGACAGCAAUAUGUUCAUUCAUUUUAUAUGUAUGUGGAUGACUAUUCUCCAUAUCCUCAAUAUUGUCCAGCUGAAAUUAUUUAUCAUCUCGUUCUUAACAGUAAAGUGUUCCUAUUCCAGAUCUACCAAGUCUCAAUUUUAGCUACUUUAGUAAAUCAUUCUCAACUCGUCAGCUGAACAUAUAGAUUCCCAUAUUAAAGACUUAUUAUCCCUCCACGAUAAAAGAAAAUCCUGUCAACAAAGAAGAUAUGGAAGCAAUGACCCUAACACCUUAAAGGCAGGGUUAUAUACCGAGAGUAGUAUCACACUGAACAAUUAAAUGCUGAGAGCUUUUCCCUAAGACCUGAAGGAAAAUAAAGAUAUUCAAUUUCUAACUUAUAUUCAAGUAGUACUGAAAGUCAUAUCCAGAGUAAAAGAGAUCAAAAGAGAAUAUAUCAAAAGUAGAAAGAGAAUACUUAAAUAUUACCCAUUUGUAAACUUCAGUCAUCUAUAAACAGUAUGGAAGGUUGUCAACAAUUUUAAAAUAAAACUACUGUGUGGUCCAGCAAUCCCCUUUUUGAAUACAUAGUCAAAGUGGAGGAAGCCAAUUAGUACAUUAAAGAGACACCCCCACAGUUAGUGUGAAUCCACCUAGAGUAGUCAAGAUAAGUGCCAUUGGACAGACAAAUAAGAAGACAAAUUAUGUGCCUUUAACAUAAUGCAGUUCUCAUGUAGGUGAACCUGAAUGCUGCUUCUAGAAAGAAAGAUGGAGAGGAAAAAGGUUGAGUGUCUCAUUCACAAGUAGUAUCUCAACUAACUGAUCUCCCAGAGGUAAUGAAGAUAAUGAAAUAAUGAAAUGGUAGUUAACAGCAGCUGGGGUACUAUGGAAGUUUGUUGUUACAAAACACUGUAAGGAGUAAGUUCAACAGUUCAUAGUACAAUGUGACCACCGUAGUUAGUGACAGAACAUUGUGAUUUUGAAAAAUGAAGGAAAUAGGCCCAGAAAAUAACUCUGCAGAUAAAGCCAUUUGUCUUUAAGCCUGACUCAGGCCCUGAUUCUGUAAGUUGUUCUCUUGUCUGCACACACACACACACACACACACACACACACACACACACACACACCUCACACAAAUAAAUCAUUUUAAUUUAAAGUUUUCAAAGAAAAAUUAAAGGAAAAAUGAUAAUUAUUUUUACAAGAAAAUUAUUAAUAUACAAAUCCACAGAUUUGGUAAUUAGUUUGUGUGUGUACAGGUGUGUGUGGGGGAGUGGGUGUGGGUGCGUACAUAUGUGUUUACACUAUGUUCACGUGAUAAAUACCUACAGUUCUACUUGUUCAUUCAAUAAACUGAAAUUAAAAUUUAA